rnacentral:rRNA from 1 species
AUGCACGCUGGCGGCGUGCCUCAUCCAUGCCAGUCGAGCGAACGGACGAGAAGCUUGCUUCUCUGAUGUUAGCGGCGGACGGGUGAGUAACACGUGGAUAACCUACCUAUAAGACUGGGAUAACUUCGGGAAACCAGAGCUAAUACCGGAUAAUAUUUUGAACCGCAUGGUUCAAAAGUGAAAGACGGUCUUGCUGUCACUUAUAGAUGGAUCCGCGCUGCAUUAGCUAGUUGGUAAGGUAACGGCUUACCAAGGCAACGAUGCAUAGCCGACCUGAGAGGGUGAUCGGCCACACUGGAACUGAGACACGGUCCAGACUCCUACGGGAGGCAGCAGUAGGGAAUCUUCCGCAAUGGGCGAAAGCCUGACGGAGCAACGCCGCGUGAGUGAUGAAGGUCUUCGGAUCGUAAAACUCUGUUAUUAGGGAAGAACAUAUGUGUAAGUAACUGUGCACAUCUUGACGGUACCUAAUCAGAAAGCCACGGCUAACUACGUG